CCCGAGAGAGUCGGGCGGUUCCCCUUCGGGGGGACGAGGGUGACAGGUGGUGCAUGGUUGUCGUCAGCUCGUGUCGUGAGAUGUUGGGUUAAGUCCCGCAACGAGCGCAACCCUCGACCUUAGUUGCCAGCAUUCAGUUGGGCACUCUAAGGUGACUGCCGGCUAAAAGUCGGAGGAAGUGGGGAUGACGUCAAAUCAUCAUGCCCCUUAUGACCUGGGCUACACACGUGCUACAAUGGGCGGUACAAAGGGUCGCGAACCCGCGAGGGGGAGCCAAUCCCAAAAAGCCGCUCUCAGUUCGGAUUGCAGGCUGCAACUCGCCUGCAUGAAGCCGGAAUCGCUAGUAAUCGCGGAUCAGCAUGCCGCGGUCGAAUACGUUCCCGGGCCUU
rnacentral:rRNA from 1 species